GGGUGACUAGUCUAGUGGUCAGGACGCUUCGUUGUGGUUUGAGAUGCACUUCUCAAUACAUGACGACCCGAAGAAACCCCGGUUCGAUUCCGGGGUCGCCCA